rnacentral:lncRNA from 1 species
UAGCAUUCAUAUUAGAAGCCAUGAACAAUAAUCAGUUUGAAAUCAAAAAACAAGUCUCAGAACCCACAUGCAAAACAUACAACACUUAGAACAAGGAUAGAGUUACCCUCCUUCUUCGCGACCGGAGAAGAACGGCCUUCAAUCGCCAGAUAAAACCCUAGGUCCAAAUUAGAACAGGAUAGAGUUACCCUCCUUCUUCGCGACCGGAGAAGAACGGCCUUCAAUCGCCAGAUAAAACCUAGGUCCAACCACCGGAAACCGUACUGGAAACAUACCGGAAUAGGGUCAGAGAUGUCGGAAAAUCACCCAAAACAUCCACCGAGUGAGGAUCGAGCCAUAGGAUAGCAGCAAAACCCUAGGUUCAACCACCGAAAACCCUAGAAUCUGAAGAAUCACCGGAAAAAGGUCAGGGAUGUCGGAAAAUCACCCAAAACAUCCACUGAGUGAAGAUCGAAGCAUCAAACAACACUAAAGGCUUCGAUUAUCCGUUCAGU